rnacentral:rRNA from 1 species
UACGGAGGAUCCAAGCGUUAUCCGGAUUUAUUGGGUUUAAAGGGUGCGUAGGCGGCCUAUUAAGUCAGUGGUGAAAUACGGUAGCUUAACUAUCGAGGUGCCAUUGAUACUGCAGAGCUUGAGUACAGAUGAGGUAGGCGGAAUUGACGGUGUAGCGGUGAAAUGCUUAGAUAUCGUCAAGAACACCUAUAGCGAAGGCAGCUUACUAGGCUGUAACUGACGCUGAGGCACGAAAGUGUGGGGAUCAAACAGG